rfam:Gorilla gorilla gorilla genomic chromosome, chr11, whole genome shotgun sequence
GCCAGGCAUGGUGGUGGGUGCCUGUAAUCCCAGCUACCCAGGAGGCUGAGGCAGGAGAAUUGCUUGUGCCCAGGAGGUGGAGAUUGCAGUGAGCCAAGAUUGCACCACUGAACUCCAGCCUGGGCAACAAAGCGAGAAUCCGUCUCAA